rnacentral:lncRNA from 1 species
AAAAAAAAAAAAAAAAAAAAAAAAAAAAAAAAAAAAAAAAAAAAAAAAAAAAAAAAAAAAAACGAUAUAAACGGUAAUAAUAUGAACAGUAUAGAUAUAUAUAACAACUAUAAUCAACAAAACCAUUUUAAUGAAUAUAUUGAAAACGUAGCAAUUGAAUCAUAUAACUUAACUGAAGGAGGUAAAGAUUCUCAUAACAUUGAUACAAGUGAUUUAUACAUUUUUGACGAUGAUAAAACAAAUGAGUAUAUAUAUAAUAAUAAAAGACGUAAUAAAUCAAAUGAAAAAAAUAUUUUUCUUAAAUUUAAUUAUCAAUGUACAUACCUGAAAAACAUAAAAGAAAAUAAAAUUCUACAAAUUGUUACUACUCCACACAAUAAUUUAAUAUAUACUAUAUAUAAUAAAAAAUUAUAUUUAAUGCAAUGUAAAGAUACAAAAUUAAAUAUUUUAAAAAAAAUAAUUUUCAACACACCUAUAAAAUCAGCUGAAGAACAUAAUGAAUGCCCGUAUAUUAUUUCUCGUGAUAAUUUUAUUCGUACAUAUAAUUUAGAACAGGGAGUUGUUUAUAAAAGCAGAAUUCAUGGAAUACCUAAUCAAUGUGUUCCUCAAAAAAUAAAAUUUUAUAAACAACAUAACAAAGAAGAAUAUACGAAAAAUACCAAUUCAUUUAUGUAUUCUUUAUCAUUUACUAAUUCUGGUAAAAUAAAUAUUUAUGAUAGUAGGUGUACUGAAGUUGUUAAGUCGUUUAAUAUGGAUAAUGAUUAUAUAGGUAUGGAUUUUCAUAAAAAUACUAAUAGUUUAUUUUCAAUAGAUAAUAAAGGUUAUUUAUAUAAUUGGUGUUUAAAUACAAACAAACUAAAAAAGAAAAUAAUAGAUAAUUAUACAGUUUUUCCGACUUUAUUAAAUGUAUCUAAUUCCUAUUUAGUCACUUGCUCAUUUAAUGGUUUUUUGAAUUUAUAUGAUGUAAACAAUUUAGACAUGCCUAUAAAAUCAUUUAAAAAUUUAACUCAUAGUAUUACUGAAGCAGUUUUUAGUCCUUCAAAUGAUCACCUUUUAUAUUUAACACCUUAUUGUAAAAAUGGUGUCAGAUUAAUAAAUUUAAAAAAAAAAUAUGUAUAUUGUAACAUACCAUGGUUUCAGUCUGAAAUAUCCUAUAAUAUUCAUUGUGCUAAUUUUUUUAACAGUGGAAAUAGUAUGCUUACUGCUGCUCGUCAAAAUUUAUUUUAUGUGUAUAAUAUACUACCUUCAGAGUUUUAAAAAAAAAAAAAAAAUAAAAAUAAAAAAAAAAUAAAAUAUUAAAUUUAU